rnacentral:rRNA from 1 species
CCCUUAGAGUUUGAUCCUGGCUCAGAACGAACGUUGGCGGCAUGGAUGAGGCAUGCAAGUCGCGGGAAUGCCCCGCAAGGGGUGGAACCGGCGUAAGGGGCAGUAAGGCGUAGGUACCUACCCCGUGGUCCGGGAUAGCCCGCCGAGAGGCGGGGUAAUACCGGAUGACCUCGGGAGAGCAAAGCUCCGGCGCCGCGGGCGGGGCCUACGUGAUAUUACCUAGUUGGCGGGGUAACGGCCCACCAAGGGGGAGAUGUCUAGCGGGUGUGAGAGCACGACCCGCGCCACUCGCACUGAGACACUGGCGAGACACCUACGGGUGGCUGCAGUCGAGGAUCUUCGGCAAUGGGGGCAACCCUGACCGAGCGAUGCCGCGUGGGCGACGAAGGCCUUCGGGUUGUAAAGCCCUGUCGAGGGGGAGAAAGCCGCAAGGCGGAUCCAUCCCUGGAGGAAGCUCGGGCUAAGUUCGUGCCAGCAGCCGCGGUAAGACGAACCGAGCGAACGUUGUUCGGAAUCACUGGGCUUAAAGGGCGCGUAGGCGGGCUGCCGCGUCCGGGGUGAAAUCCCACGGCUCAACCGUGGAACGGCCCCGGGUACGGGCGGCCUCGAGGGGGGUAGGGGCGUGCGGAACUGUGGGUGGAGCGGUGAAAUGCGUUGAUAUCCACAGGAACUCCGGUGGCGAAGGCGGCACGCUGGACCCUCUCUGACGCUGAGGCGCGAAAGCCAGGGGAGCGAACGGGAUUAGAUACCCCGGUAGUCCUGGCCCUAAACGAUGAGAACUGGGUAGUAGCCCUGGCAUGGGGUUACUGCCGCAGCCAAAGUGCUAAGUUCUCCGCCUGGGGAGUAUGGUCGCAAGCUGAACUCAAAGGAUU